GCCCGGAUGACGAAAUUGGUAGACGUAGCGGACUUAAAAUUCGCGCCCGAAAGGGGUACGGGUUCGAUUCCCGUUCCGGGCACCA
rnacentral:tRNA from 1 species